rnacentral:rRNA from 1 species
CUGAAGGGAGCGGCGAGGCCGGCCGGUGGCACCGCAACCCACGCUGCUGUCCGACAAGCUACAAGCGGGUCGCGAGGGUGCUACAACCGCUGGCCACGGCUGCUACGGGGGUGUUUGGUUCCCUGUAUUGCAUGGGGCUCGCAUCCACCAUGCAAAAUCUGGGUGUUUGGCUGGUUCCUCUUUCUCCUUCCUCUCCCUUCUGCCUCUCGUGCGCCGCCGCCAAGACCCCACCGACCAAGCCCCGCCUCAUUCGUCUUUCUCAAGCACCACCACCUCCGUUCUGCUCAUCAAGCGCCGCCGCCGUCCUCUACCAAGCGCCGUCGCCGCCCUUGUCAAGGUCCGCCAUCUUCGUUCGCCUCCACCAAGCGCAGCCGCCGCCGCCGAAUCUUGCCUCCUCGUGCCGCCGCAGGGAAGAACACCGUGUUAGCUGGUGGGUUUCCUCGACCAAGCGCGGCCGCCGCUGCUGCCAUUGUCUGCGGCCAUCUUCCUUCGUCUCCAGUAAGCGGCGCUCCGCACGCCAGAUCCGGCCGCCGCAAGGAAGGAUCCAACUAUGUGGAACCACCGAGCCGUGAAUCCCGUUGCUUCGCGCUGGUGCAUGCUCCUCCUUCCGCAUAUUUUUCAGCAACAUUCAGAAAAAAUCCACCUCGUACAGCCAUGGUAUACACAGGGAACCAAACACCCAUCUUAGCUCAACUUUGCAUCAGCUCAGCCAGGCCGUGGUCACCCAGGUUCCCCCGUGCAAUGCAGCCGAAAGCCACCCAGGCAACCAAACACGCCCUACAACCACCGGCCAUGGAUGAUGCAGCGAUGGUGGCGAGAUGGCAUGAUUGUGCAACCGGAGAUCGCGUCGCCGUUGCCGGCAAGGACGCAAGCCUCAAGUGGGAGCUGCAACCGGCCUGCGCUGGGCUGGAAGCCUGCAACCUGUGUAGUGCGGGCCGUGAACCGGUGGCGUGCAAAGUUGCAGCGGCGGUGGCGCCGUGGCGGCUGGGCGGCGGUGGUUGCUGUCAUGACUAA